rnacentral:lncRNA from 1 species
CAUCAGCCCAUUUUCCAGAUUAGAAACCGGAGGCCAGUAUCUAGUUGUUAGUGAACAAAUGUGGGGUGCUUCUGGAUCUGAUGUUGGUGAUAUUUCUAUUUUGCUUCCCUUCAGUUUAGCAUGUGGCUCUCUAGAACUUGGCAACCAUGUAAUCUUCCUAUCUGGAGCAGCACCGACCCGUUUUCCUGAUGAGAAACUGUGUUUAGGAUGUGACUCUCUAGAACAUGGCAACCAUGUAAUCUUCCUAACUGGAGCAGCACCGACCCGUUUUCCUGAUGAGAAACUGUGUUUAGGAUGUGACUCUCUAGAACAUGGCAACCAUGUAAUCUUCCUAUCUGGAGCAGCACCGACCCAUUUUCCUGAUGAGAAACUGUGUUUAGCAUGUGGCUCUCUAGAACUUGGCAACCAUGUAAUCUUCCUAUCUGGAGCAGCACCGAACAAUUUUCCUGAAGAGAAACUGUGUUUAGGAUGUGGCUCUCUAGAACUUGGCAACCAUGUAAUCUUCCUAACUGGAGCAGCACCGACCCGUUUUCCUGAUGAGAAACUGUGUUUAGCAUGUGGCUCUCUAGAACUUGGCAACCAUGUAAUCUUCCUAUCUGGAGCAGCACAGACCCGUUUUCCUGAUGAGAAACUGUGGUGAGUAUCAUUUAUAUCGCGAACAACAG